rnacentral:tRNA from 1 species
CAAAGUAUAGCUUAAUUAAAGCCCUUCGCUUACACCGAAGCCAUGUUUGUGCAAAUCAAACUCCUUUGA